AUUCCUUUCUCCAUCUUGCGACGUCGACUUUCAUCGUAGAAAUCCACGCGGAGGGUAGAUACAGUUUUAAUGUCGUUUCUUCCCAUUCCUCGAAGGUGUCACGACGUUCCGGCCACCUUUGCCCAUCGCUGUCACGAACCACACGCUUGCCUGCGUUGAACCCCGCAAAUUGUCGAGUGUAGCGAGAACUGUGUGUGUCGUGGCAGGGGAAUCGCGCAAAUUGAGUUUGACAAAGUGGAUCAUCGGGGUCGGCCUUUCAAAGACGUAAUAACGCUGAACGCGUGGCUGUGUGGUCUGCAGCGCGUAAAAAUUGGACGUCACUCGAACAGCUAGCAUUCUGCUCGAACAUCUGCUGUACCUUGCAAUUUUGCUCAUUUCAGGUUCGCCAAAGCACCUCGUCUUGUUCCUAUACGAAACUCGAUAAUUUGCUUCGACCGAUUGUCGGAACGAGAUUUCGUGCCUGGUUGACUGAAACGGGAAGGAAGAGAAUCACGCAAAUGGAGUUUGACAAAGUGGAUCGUCCGUACCGCCUCUGAAACGUAAUGGUCGACGCGUGGCGAUGUCAGUCUUUGCAGCUACGACGCCGGGACGAAAUCGUUUCGGUAAAAAUCGAAUGCAACCAGAUGGACCGGUCUCCGUGCAUCGAGUUAAGUGAAUGAGAAAGAUAAACAUAAUAAUUACGGCAAAUUGCUGGCUGCCGCUGAAAAGCGCAUCGUGGAGGACCGGCACGUUGCAAGAGAGAGGAACUCGGGCGCCGCUAAGUAUCAACGCCCCACUGUACGCCGCCCAGUGAAAUCAAAGUAGCUUAAAUCGGUGUAUCACGAGACUCGUGAGGAUCUCUUAAGCAGACUCACGUGUAGCCUUAAGGGAUGGAUUCUUACGACUGAAGAGAAGCUGCUGCAGAGAAGAAUUUGGCGGAUAAGAUAUACGAGGAUGUAACUCGAUUAAAUUUUAUUAUUCUGCUAACUUUAUUAUUACGAUAACAAUUACUACGAUUGUCCGCUUACUAUACUCGGACAAGAUUGCUUCGAUUUAUACGAUAUUAAGAUUCUUCUGUUUUAUCGUGAAAUCAUCUAUUUCUUUCGCGAUCUUGGUGCGUCAAAAAGUUUUUGAUAUCUGAAAUCUUUCAGCGGAAGACAGUGGAAAGAAAUUCGAUGAGGCGAAGGAGCGGCUGACCGGAAGUACGUUACUCGCCGCGUGGGUCGAUACUGUUGGAACAUCGGUACAGUGCAAACAGCUUCGAUAACAAACGUGCCCACUCCCACAAGCUUGUUUGCAGUUAAGAGCGGUGCGAGGGCUUACAGGGAGAUACCUGUUACCCCGUCGCUUAUUUCCCCUUGUUCCCAGAACUCCAGUCGAAAUUCGCGACAUAACUUUCCGGCUGGUUGAGCCUAAGUUAAACGCGCGUUAAUGCAGACGUCGCGUGGGAUUCUUUAAUCGUAAACUCGUUUACGAUAGGUUUGUGAACGACAGAGUGCGAGGCGUGUGCUGGAGUUUGCGCUGGGUAUUCUAUUCUGGUAAAAGCGUGUAUUACGAGCCGGCGUAAUUCUCAUGAUGUAGUUCGUUGUACGGUGAAAUCACCGGCCCGUAACACGGUCACGAAGCAACACGAGCGUUCUUGUAAUUAUUAACUCGUCAUUAAUUAGUAUGAAUUCAAUUAAAUGGCCAGAGCAACCGGCUAUUACCUGGCCAAUUACAGAAUCGAGUGAUUGAAAGACACAUCAACGGUUAGAUAAUCCUCAAAGCGAGCCAGAGCCACGCGCCAGCCACCGCACAGGAUCGGUUAUAUUGUUCCACGAUAGAAAUCAACCACGCGUUGCAAUCAUCGAAAGUAGAUUGCAAGAAGAAAUCGUAAUUGCGAUAUGGCGUAACUAGAUAAUUUUUUAUGUUUCAACCGUUUCCACGUUGCGUCGUAUUAACUUUUCCAAGUUUGAUGCUUUGAACUUUGAUCUAUCGAUGAUAUGACACGUUCGAUUUGUUAUUUGCGUCAUGAUCGAUAGAAAUUGAAGCGUUCUUUUGUAACUUUCACCCGAACUCAACUGACUUUCAUGGAUCAGAAUGUUUCGGCUAUAGCCAUUCCAUGCUCAAACGAAGAUCGUAAGCGAGAAACAUGCUAAAUAGUUAUUUUUUACAUUUAUUCUAAUUAUUUAGGUUGAUUUCUUUUGAUUGCAACAUCAGUUUAUGAUUAAUCAGGAAAUUUUGACGAAAGAAAUAAUAGCAAAUAUGAUGCAAGAAGAAGAAGCAGUACGAUAUUUGUAAAUGUCAUUAUUCGAAAUAUAAUUUCCAAGAACAAGUCAUUAUACUUGUUAAUUAUCUCAAAAGAUAAACACAUCGUUUGACACCUCAUUUCUUGAAAUAUCAUUUUAAAAGAUUUUUCUAUUUUCACAGAAAUUAUUUACAGAUCUACAGUUAAUUGUAAAAUCGAAUAUUAUGUUAUUCGAAAUAAUAUUUGAAAUAACGUAACUUCGAAUAUGCUCGAGUCCAUAAUUCACACAACGAAUUAUAGAACUGCUUCUCCGUGCAAAAUAGCUGCGUAAUGUGAUUUACACUCUUGGUCCGUAAUCUUCAAACGCCUAGCUUGGAUACACGUGACGCGUGAUUCGAUCAUGGUUACGAUUUCCGAUCCCAGACGGACAAUCGAUCAAUUAAGCUCGUUUGUUGUUGUACGCUCCUAAACGUGUAACCAAUAUUGAUUCAACGACGAUAGGCUCGCUUUACAACAGACGGAAUGGCACGUAGCAUCAACCACAAUAGAAAUUAUCGCGUUGUAGACGUAUCGUUAACGCUUCCGAAAUCCACGGUCGAAUCUAUUCUCGCCCCGAGGUAAUCGUGCAGAAUUGCAGCGGUUUGAACGGGUGUGCGCGUGCACGCGAUACACCCAGCCCCUACGACCCCGCUGAAAUAAUAAACGCUCUCAUGAUCGUUCGCGCGGCUAACAGAGUGUAUCUCGCGAGUUACAGCGAGCAACGAGUAGUUGGCGCCUACCCGAUAAACCGACCGACCGACCGACCGACCGACCGACCAACCUCGCCUCCGAUCAACACAUCGCCGCGUGUCGUACGGAAAUUUAAUAUGCUCGUACAAGAGCGUGUACGCAUGCACUAUGUUGGAGAUGUAUUCGAUGAAUGAACUAAUUGUGCGUUCCACGUCGCGAAUUCUACAGGAUGAUGCCACUUGCUGGUCAACUCAAAAGCAGUGCCGCCGAACUUGUUUUCGGUUUACGUAUGUAUAGGUACAGCAGUGUGCAGAAGUCUCGAGCCAUGCAUCGAUAUGUAGCGAGUAUACAGUAGCGGAUAAUAUUUCUAAUAUUAGAAAUAGCGUUUCUGCAACGUUAUGGUAUUAUUUAGAAAGAGAUUCUUAGAUAUUUCCUUUAUCGCGUUACUCGUUUGUAUCAUAGUUUGAAUUAACUUGUAGAGGAAAAUACCUCAUCACGGAUUUUAACGAGAUUACGAUGUUUUCUUGUUGAUACGUAGAAACAAAAUAAACGGUCGGUUCGAAAUGAUCUUGGGAAACGUAAGAUAAAGGAAAGAAUAUCCCCAAAAGAAGGAGAGAUCGGUAAUAUUUUACAAUACAUUGUACUUUUAAUGUAAAUUAUUUAUCAGGGUACGAUGAAAAUGUCGAGCUUGAAGACGAGCUUUCUUAAUCGGUUGGGAUGCUAUAUUAUAGUUUCUCGUUGUAUUCAAUAUUGAAUGAAGUACAAAGAAGUUAUUGUCUGCAAUGGUUAUAAAUAACAUCGCGAUGAUAUUCGCGCAAGAUGAUAAUAUUGGAAUAAAAUUAGCGUGCAGUAAUAUUUCAUCCGUGAUAACUUUCGAGGGUUAAAUGAGAAAAAUCAGUGACGGAGAUAAAGACUUUAACGAAGUUGUAAUCAAGUGUGCGCCUGGCUUCUCGGGCAAACAGCAACGGUAUGAGACGGUAAAUAGUUUGAGGCAGGUGUACCCCAUCUGCAGUGUCAGCUGCCAGCGGCCGAAGCCCUUGGCAUGGUCUACCUUUGAAAUUUGAAAAAUAUCCUGUGCACGAGCGAGCGAGCGGACGAUCGAGUAAACGAGCGACAGCUGUUGCGAUUUUCUGUGGGUGGCAAGUGAAAGUGCAGCUUCGAGGUCAGUGCGGGAGACAAAUUGAAUUUUUGUAACCACAUCCUUUGGUAAAUCCGCUUAAGAAAAAUUUGAGCCGAUUUUGCUGUCCAAAGACUCGUACGUCCAUCCGUUCGAAUUAUUAUUUUCUUUUACCUCGCUGAACAAUUUGUGAAUAGGAUGCAAACACAGAGAUCGAUCGACUCGAGAAUAACUCAGCGUGAAUAACUUCGAACGAUGUGGAGAACUGUGAAUGAAUGUUUAUGCUAUUAAUAGCAGGUGAGAAACGAUUCGGAGAUUGUACAUGGAGAUUUGGUAUGCAUGCGCAUGGUGCCACGUGGAAAUUUAGUUGCACGUAGCAGGAAUGCGUGUUGUGCGAAAGAUUCUUAACCCUUCGCACAUAGAAUUUUAACGUUUCUAUUCAAUUAAAGAUCAAUUUCGUGAGAAGAAAUUAUGGAUUGUUAAAUUAUGAUCUACGAUUGCUUUCUUAAUUUUAUAAUCUGCGCAAUCAAUGUAUUAAUGUUUCUGGAACAAUUGUUCGAACGAUUAAACACGAUUACUCGAAAAAGUGAUCACAAAGAGGAAUUCAGCUUUUGAAUGCAAUUAAAAAAUCGAUCAAUUUUCUUGUCGAAUGAAAUGUUUCAUCAAUUUCUUAUCGAACAAAUUAGGAUAGCAACCGAUCGUUUGAGCUGUUAUCAUUCUAUCAUUUUCAUAUUUGACGUUUUAGUACCUUUCAAACGUAACGUUUAAGUAUAAUGUUUACAUAAAUCGAUUACACGAGAAUAUUGUUGAAAAUGAUAGUGUUGUUUAUAAUUUAUUUCAUUCGGUUAUUUACAACACUCGUACGAUGCUGAAAAAAUAAUGUCAACACAAUUGGGAUUUCGGACGCAAGUGGUUGAUCUUGUUGCCAAGAACAUUUUGAAUGUUUUAAAAAAAUCACGAGCAUACAGUUGAAGUUAGAAAUCAAGCGCGUAUCAAUAACGAUUAUUUCAUAUUUUUCUUAAAUUUAAGAAAUUUUCUAUUAAUAGAAAGGUACGACUCAGUCGAGAAUGAUCCAAAGAAUGCAGUAGAUCCAACAGUGCAAUAAGAAUCGAGAGAAUUCUAUGUGAAUCAUCAAAGAAUUUAGAAUAAUAAUUUGAAUUCAGAGAAACAAAGUCGGAAAGAAUUGAAUCAUCGUGAGUAAGAAUUAUUAUGGAAUCAAAUUGUCAUUCUACUACUUCUAUUUCAUUGUUAAAUAUAGUUUUCACUGCCUUGUUUUAUAUUUAAGAGGUAAAAUUCUGUCUACCUCAUGCUACAUUUCUACAAUUUAUAGUUAGAACAGUAUUUGUAGCAAUAUAGCGGUCCCCUUUUUCGUUUCAAGGCGAGCUUUUUCGUCGAUCUGGUUGGAAGCACCCGGUCCAGGGGAGGAAUCUUUUUUUACUCGCGAUGCUGCACACUGCGCGCCUCUCUAAUGUCCCACAUCCUGCUGCUGAAAGCGUUCUCCCGUCAUCAAAUACAGAAUCGUAAUUUUUGAGUCUGCUAAUUGCUCCGUAUCCGGUCACGAAUCGAGCGGUUCCCGUGGAACAUUUGCUAGCUGUGGUUGGUCGAAGAGUAACACGAUCUUCUGGAUCCACUCGCUUUUAAUAUCUUUUGGGCUUGUUCACGAUUUUCGGAGGACAGCACUAACUCUCGUCGAGGAAUCAAACACUUUGGAAAUCGACUGUUACGUGCAAGAGAGAAAAGUUUGUAGUCACGAUUUAACUAUGAUCUCCGUCUUCGUGAUUCAUACGUAGUGUCAACUUCUCACAAUAGUCGUUUAUUCGUGUCAAUAUUUUCCGCUUAUAUACAUCGGAUAGAGUAUAAUCUGUUUACAGUUUCGAAGAUCUUAGACUUGAAAAACUGAAAAAAAAGUUUCACUACUAUAGAUAUUUGUAACCCGACGGAUUGUUCAUUCGUUAAUCUAUCUCGACUAUCCACGGAAAAUGAUAAAUUACCGAAAAACACAAUAAUCAACGGAUAUAAGCAAGUAAGAAACAAUAACAAAGAAAAGCACGGAAACAGACGGACGUGGAUGACGCGUUGGACGCGAAAUUUGUUGAAAAAUAUUUUGACAAGUGUUUGACGUUCAAAUUCGCAAGGCAAACCGGACGAAGGCCUUCGCAACGUUUUGACUCGGAGCGUCGAGAAGAGACUGGCGAACGCCUUUCUGCCUCUGCCUGGGACAUCGCUGGGCAUCCCUUUCCACCAAUGACGAGGCUUCCUUACUGGUCUCACGGAGAGACUGCGAGUACCUUUACUCUUGAUAGGUUACCUUCGAGUUAACUCGAUAGGAUCGUAAACGUGCGCAUGCAUAUAAAUCACUCUUUCGAUCUUGGAAGUUGCAAGGAUUUUUGGACGAAUCUCGGUAACGGAGUCGGCCGAGAUCUGCCGUCGAGAAUCCAGGAAGUUUACGAGAAGUGGUCUCGAACUGAUUCUAUUUCGGAACGGAUCCCUUCUUGCCGUGUAAAUCUAUUUCAUUUAUAAUUCACUGUAUAAAUCAAUUCUAAAACAGAAAUACUUGUACUCCUACUUAUCAAAAAUAUGCUAGAAAAAUAAAUACGUAUCUUGUAUAAAAUAA